UGGGGAAUAUUGCACAAUGGGCGCAAGCCUGAUGCAGCCAUGCCGCGUGUGUGAAGAAGGCCUUCGGGUUGUAAAGCACUUUCAGCGGGGAGGAAGGCGGUGAGGUUAAUAACCUCAUCGAUUGACGUUACCCGCAGAAGAAGCACCGGCUAACUCCGUGCCAGCAGCCGCGGUAAUACGGAGGGUGCAAGCGUUAAUCGGAAUUACUGGGCGUAAAGCGCACGCAGGCGGUUUGUUAAGUCAGAUGUGAAAUCCUCGGGCUCAACCUGGGAACUGCAUCUGAAAAUGGCAAGCUUGAGUCUCGUAGAGGGGGGUAGAAUUCCAGGUGUAGCGGUGAAAUGCGUAGAGAUCUGGAGGAAUACCGGUGGCGAAGGCGGCCCCCUGGACGAAGACUGACGCUCAGGUGCGAAAGCGUGGGGAGCAAACAGG
rnacentral:rRNA from 1 species